AUGAAAGGAGGCAAGGCGAUGGGCCCUGAUUGUAUCCCCAUUGAGGUGUGGAAAGGUCUCGGGGACAUAGCGAUAGUAUGGCUAACCAAGCUUUUCAACCUCAUUUUUCGGGCAAACAAGAUGCCAGAAGAAUGGAGACGGAGUAUAUUAGUACCAAUCUUCAAGAACAAGGGGGAUGUUCAGAGUUGUACUAAUUACCGUGGAAUUAAGCUGAUGAGCCAUACAAUGAAGCUAUGGGAGAGAGUCAUUGAGCAUCGCUUAAGAAGAAUGACAAGCGUGACCAAAAAUCAGUUUGGUUUCAUGCCUGGGAGGUCGACCAUGGAAGCCAUUUUCUUGGUACGACAACUUAUGGAGAGAUAUAGGGAGCAUAAGAAGGACUUGCAUAUGGUGUUCAUUGACUUGGAGAAGGCCUAUGAUAAGAUACUGCGGAAUGUCAUGUGGUGGGCCUUGGAGAAACACAAAGUCCCAACAAAGUACAUUACCCUCAUCAAGGACAUGUACAAUAAUGUUGUGACAAGUGUUCGAACAAGUGAUGUCGACACCGAUGACUUCCCGAUUAAGAUAGGACUGCAUCAGGGGUCAGCUUUGAGCCCUUAUCUUUUUGCAUUGGUGAUGGAUGAGGUCACAAGGGGUAUACAAGGAGAUAUCCCAUGGUGUAUGCUCUUUGCGGAUGAUGUGGUGCUAGUUGACGAUAGUCGGACGGGGGUAAAUAGGAAGUUAGAGUUAUGGAGACAGACCUUGGAAUCGAAAGGGUUUAGGCUUAGUAGAACUAAAACCGAGUACAUGAUGUGCGGUUUCAGUACUACUAGCUGUGAGGAGGAGGAGGUUAGCCUUGAUGGCCAGGUGGUACCUCGGAAGGACACCUUUCUGUAUUUGGGGUCAAUGUUGCAGGAGGAGGGGGGUAUUGAUGAAGAUGUGAACCAUCGAAUCAAAGCCGGAUGGAUGAAGUGGCGCCAAGCUUCUGGCAUUCUCUGUGACAAGAGAGUGCCACAAAAGCUAAAAGGCAAGUUCUACAGGACGGCGGUUCGACCCGCAAUGUUGUAUGGCGCGGAGUGUUGGCCGACUAAAAGGCGACAUGUUCAACAGUUAGGUGUGGCGGAGAUGCGUAUGUUGAGAUGGAUGUGUGGCCACACGAGGAAGGAUCGAGUCCGGAAUGAUGAUAUACGAGAUAGAGUUGGGGUAGCACCAAUUGAGGAGAAGCUUGUCCAACAUCGUUUGAGAUGGUUUGGGCAUAUUCAACGCAGGCCUCCAGAAGCUCCAGUGCAUAGCGGACGGCUAAAGCGUGCGGAGAAUGUCAAGAGAGGGCGGGGUCGACCAAUUUUGACAUGGGAGGAGUCCGUUAAGAGAGACCUGAAGGAUUGGAGUAUCGACAAAGAGCUAGCUAUGGACAGGGGUGCGUGGAAGCUUGCUAUCCAUGUGCCAGAGCCAUGA
rnacentral:rRNA from 1 species